rnacentral:rRNA from 1 species
UUAAGCGACUAAGCGUACACGGUGGAUGCCCUGGCAGUCAGAGGCGAUGAAGGACGUGCUAAUCUGCGAAAAGCGCCGGCGAGGUGAUAUGAACCCUUGACCCGGCGAUGUCCGAAUGGGGAAACCCAGUGCAAUCCGUUGCACUAUCGUUAACUGAAUACAUAGGUUAACGAGGCGAACCGGGGGAACUGAAACAUCUAAGUACCCCGAGGAAAAGAAAUCAACCGAGAUUCCCCCAGUAGCGGCGAGCGAACGGGGAGCAGCCCGGAGUCUGAAUCAGCUUGUGUGUUAGUGGAACGGUCUGGAAAGUCCGACGGUACAGGGUGAUAGUCCCGUACACGAAAAUGCACAUGCUGUGAACUCGAAGAGUAGGGCGGGACACGUGGUAUCCUGUCUGAAUAUGGGGGGACCAUCCUCCAAGGCUAAAUACUCCUGACUGACCGAUAGUGAACCAGUACCGUGAGGGAAAGGCGAAAAGAACCCCGGCGAGGGGAGUGAAAAAGAACCUGAAACCGUGUACGUACAAGCAGUGGGAGCCUCUUUAUGGGGUGACUGCGUACCUUUUGUAUAAUGGGUCAGCGACUUAUAUUCUGUAGCAAGGUUAACCGUAUAGGGGAGCCGAAGGGAAACCGAGUCUUAACUGGGCGUUAAGUUGCAGGGUAUAGACCCGAAACCCGGUGAUCUAGCCAUGGGCAGGUUGAAGGUUGGGUAACACUAACUGGAGGACCGAACCGACUAAUGUUGAAAAAUUAGCGGAUGACCUGUGGCUGGGGGUGAAAGGCCAAUCAAACCGGGAGAUAGCUGGUUCUCCCCGAAAGCUAUUUAGGUAGCGCCUCGUGAACUCAUCUUCGGGGGUAGAGCACUGUUUCGGCUAGGGGGCCAUCCCGGCUUACCAACCCGAUGCAAACUACGAAUACCGAAGAAUGUUAUCACGGGAGACACACGGCGGGUGCUAACGUCCGUCGUGAAGAGGGAAACAACCCAGACCGCCAGCUAAGGUCCCAAAGUCAUGGUUAAGUGGGAAACGAUGUGGGAAGGCACAGACAGCCAGGAUGUUGGCUUAGAAGCAGCCAUCAUUUAAAGAAAGCGUAAUAGCUCACUGGUCGAGUCGGCCUGCGCGGAAGAUGUAACGGGGCUAAACCAUGCACCGAAGCUGCGGCAGCGACACUAUGUGUUGUUGGGUAGGGGAGCGUUCUGUAAGCCGUUGAAGGUGUGCUGUGAGGCAUGCUGGAGGUAUCAGAAGUGCGAAUGCUGACAUAAGUAACGAUAAAGCGGGUGAAAAGCCCGCUCGCCGGAAGACCAAGGGUUCCUGUCCAACGUUAAUCGGGGCAGGGUGAGUCGACCCCUAAGGCGAGGCCGAAAGGCGUAGUCGAUGGGAAACAGGUUAAUAUUCCUGUACUUGGUGUUACUGCGAAGGGGGGACGGAGAAGGCUAUGUCAGCCGGGCGACGGUUGUCCCGGUUUAAGCAUGUAGGCGGAGGUUCCAGGUAAAUCCGGUACCUUUUUAACGCUGAGGUGUGAUGACGAGGCACUACGGUGCUGAAGUGAUAAAUGCCCUGCUUCCAGGAAAAGCCUCUAAGCAUCAGGUAACACGAAAUCGUACCCCAAACCGACACAGGUGGUCAGGUAGAGAAUACCAAGGCGCUUGAGAGAACUCGGGUGAAGGAACUAGGCAAAAUGGUGCCGUAACUUCGGGAGAAGGCACGCUGAUAUGUAGGUGAAGCCCCUGCGGGCGGAGCUGAAAUCAGUCGAAGAUACCAGCUGGCUGCAACUGUUUAUUAAAAACACAGCACUGUGCAAACACGAAAGUGGACGUAUACGGUGUGACGCCUGCCCGGUGCCGGAAGGUUAAUUGAUGGGGUUAGCGGCAACGCGAAGCUCUUGAUCGAAGCCCCGGUAAACGGCGGCCGUAACUAUAACGGUCCUAAGGUAGCGAAAUUCCUUGUCGG